CAUUCAUCACAGCCCAGUCGAGAGUGGCUCCAAAGAAGCAGCAAUCCAUCCCACGUCUAGAACUGUGCGCCGCCUUGACAGGAGCCCAGGUAGCCAAGCUGCUUAAGACUGAGCUAACUCUGCCCAUACAUCAAGUGACUUUGUGGACUGACUCUACUACUGUACUCACUUGGCUGAAAUCAGAGUCAUGCCGUUUCAAGGUGUUCGUGGGCACCAGAGUAGCAGAGAUUCAAGACCUCACUGCUGGUGACACCUGGCGUUAUGUAGAGUCUGCCUCGACCCUGCCGAUGACAUCACCAGGGGGAAGCCACUCUCUGCAUCACUUACUUGAACCACUAAUGCAUUGGACAGUUGUACGCAUUGGAUGUGCUUGUGGCAAUAAAUAAGUUGGACUUGAAGACAUCGUUUGUGUGAUUCUGGUCGAUCACCUGCAGCGAGCUGCUAUCUCAGUGUAUCCAGCAUAGUUAGAGCAGGGAAGCUUCUUCACAACCAGUGUAUGGGAUUUGGUGGCAUUUA